GUGUAUAGAGGUGGUGUGUAUAGAGGUGGUGUGUAUAGAGGUGGUGUAUAUAGAGGUGGUGUAUAUAGAGGUGGUGUAUAUAGAGGUGGUGUGUAUAGAGGUGGUGUGUAUAUAGAGGUGGUGUGUAUAUAGAGGUGGUGUGUAUAUAGAGGUGGUGUGUAUAUAGAGGUGGUGUGUAUAGAGGUGGUGUGUAUAGAGGUGAUGUGUAUAGAGGUGGUGUAUAUAGAGGUGGUGUAUAUAGAGGUGGUGUAUAUAGAGGUGGUGUAUAUAGAGGUGGUGUGUAUAGAGGUGGUGUAUAUAGAGGUGGUGUGUAUAGAGG
rnacentral:lncRNA from 1 species